GAGCCGUACUGCAUAUAACGUAUAAAACGUAUAUAACUUACUAGUUACAAUAGCGAAAGUCAUAUUUUGUAUUGUAAUAAUACAAUUAGUUCGCUUUACUUGUCCGGGUGCAGAAAAAGCGGUCGCAAUGAACAUAUAUUCUACACUUUGGGAAACUUAAGUAGUUUUACUAAUUACACCAUUUAUGUGAAAGCGUAUACUGUGGAUCAUUCACUAACUAGCAAUUGUGUGCCCAUACAAACUUUAAUCGGCGUUCCUUCGCGUCCAUCUCAUACAAAAUUCGAUGAUUCGAAGGAUAUCACAAUUCAUUGGCGACAACCUGAAGUGCC